UAUAUAAUAUUGUUUUUAAGUAUAUUAUUGUGAAAUUUUGACUAACUCGAUGGUCAAUACUUGGUUAACAUAAAAAGGAAAAUAGAUCAAGACACGCUUAAACAGGCGAAGCCUUACAUGCACGUCGCGUUCUGAAUACUUAAUGAGGAUUGAGACCGCCUGCAGUGGCCAUAUUAACUGUUUAACACCUACCUUGUGCCGAGCAAUGGAGUGUUGCUAACAUUCUUCCUUGCCAGUCAGUAUUCUAAUUAAAUAAUUAAAAGUAUUUUAACUGCCUUGUUGGUCGAAUGGCGUUGUUCAGCUGUGGAUU